rnacentral:rRNA from 1 species
GGCAGCGCGGGCUUCGGCCUGGCGGCGAGUGGCGGACGGGUGAGUAAUGCUUGGGAAUCUGCCUAGUAGUGGGGGAUAACCCGGUGAAAACCGGGCUAAUACCGCAUACGUCCUACGGGAGAAAGCGGGGGAUCGUAAGACCUCGCGCUAUUAGAUGAGCCCAAGUCGGAUUAGCUAGUUGGUAGGGUAAUGGCCUACCAAGGCAACGAUCCGUAGCUGGUCUGAGAGGACGAUCAGCCACACCGGAACUGAGACACGGUCCGGACUCCUACGGGAGGCAGCAGUGGGGAAUAUUGGACAAUGGGGGCAACCCUGAUCCAGCAAUGCCGCGUGUGUGAAGAAGGCCUGCGGGUUGUAAAGCACUUUCAGCAGGGAAGAACAGCGUGGGGCUAAUACCUCCGCGUCCUGACGUAACCUGAAGAAGAAGCACCGGCUAACUCCGUGCCAGCAGCCGCGGUAAUACGGAGGGUGCGAGCGUUAAUCGGAAUUACUGGGCGUAAAGCGUACGUAGGUGGCUUGAUAAGUCGGAUGUGAAAGCCCUGGGCUCAACCUGGGAACUGCAUCCGAAACUGUCUGGCUUAGAGUAAGGGAGAGGGAAGCGGAAUUUCCGGUGUAGCGGUGAAAUGCGUAGAUAUCGGAAGGAACACCAGUGGCGAAGGCGGCUUCCUGGCCCAUUACUGACACUGAGGUACGAAAGCGUGGGGAGCAAACAGGAUUAGAUACCCUGGUAGUCCACGCUG